GGAGCCGGCUAGAGCGGCUCCCUCCCAGCGUGGGAGGCGGAGCAGGCGAGUUCUGCCAGGAGGCCGAGGCUAGAGCGUCGCAGCGGGCGGCCGCCAUGUUGGCUCCGAGGGCGGGAAAGCGUCUCGUUCCCCUGAGGAAGCUGCGGGUGCGGCUUCGCCUCAGUCUCAGUCUCCUCGCCACUUUGAGGUGUUCUCGCCUCAGCCUCCUCGCCCUCACCCCUCUGAGGUGUCCUCGCCUCAGCCUCGUCACCCCUCUGAGGUGUCCUCGCCCCUCUGAGGCAGCUCAUGUGCGAGCCCUGCCUUGAGGGGAAAGCCCCAACCCACAGUAGCCCGUGGCUGCCUUGCUAGGCCCGGCUGAGGAGAGCAUCCAGACGUUCAGAAACAGCUCAAAGCAGGGGCUGGGGCACCAGCCCGAGGCGGGCGGAUGGGGACACCCAGGCGUUCGGCUGAAGGCCCGGCCGGACACGGCCCGGAGAGGCGUUGGGGUCUAACGCUGGGAAAGCAGCCUCUAGGAAAUCACGGGACAAAGAAAAUCCUCAAAUCAAAACGGUUCGGGUUUCCGAGCAGAGGGACGGGCUUUUCUUCGGGCGGACCGUCGCCCCGCGUCCCUGCCUCUUGGGGGCGCACAAAAUGGAGCCGGUUUCCUGCCGAAGUGGCGCGGCGUUGUCGUGAAAAAUUAAACAGCCGCCCCGGUUUGCAAGAGAGUUCCUGUUCGCUUCAGAGUUGGCCUUGAGGAUGUCCUUGAAGCACUCUUUGCCCUCCCUUCUUCAGCAUAUGUCUCAACUGAGCUGGGGAAAAUAAAACUUGCUUUGGGAGUCUGGAGUCGGACGCCCAGCUAUUGUGGCCAGUUUAGCGAAGAUGAUGUCAGAUGAUCAUCGCCUCAAUGCUCGGGGUGUUCACUUGCGAGAGGAUGCUGAUGUUGGCACGUCUGUCUUCCCACUGGAUUCGAAGGAUCUUUCAUAGGCAGUGUUGAUGGUACUUCUCUAGUGACUUGAAAUGUUUCUAGUACGUUGUCCAUGUUCAAAAUUUGUGAAGACACUAAAUACAUUUUGAGCUUGACCAUCAGGACCCUCAUGGAUAAUCCUAAUAGCGAAUGCCUAGAGUUGGUCUAAUAAAAGAUAUCAAAUUCACCCAAGGAACCUUGUCUGCCUAGAGCACCACAUUGCACUCAAGAACUAUAUUGACAUAGCUGUAAUGAGCAAGAUGUGGUGAGUGGGAGGUGGGCAACUCAAGAUUGAGGAGGCAGCUAUACACUCUUCUGGAAGGAUAAACAAGAAGAAAAGUGCCUACUUCACAGAGGUGGUUUUGCUAUUAAGAAUGAACCCAAAAACCAACUCAACAAGUUCCAUGUUGGAACUGACUGCCUCAUGACUCUGUCUUAAACGCACCGCUGCCAUCAGCACAUCUGUCCCAACUCUUGAUGCUGCUGCUGAAACCAAGGAGGAAUUCUAUGCCAACCUUCACGAGGUCCUUUCUGACAUUCUGGAGGGAGACAGACUUAUUCUGCUGAGCAACUUCAAUUCCAGAGUUGGAAGGGAUUACUAUUCCAACAGAAGAGUCUAGAUAGGGGUAGGCAACCCUCAGCAUGCGUACCAAAGCAUGGUACAUGAAGGCAUUUUGCUUGGCAUGUGUGCCUUGGGAUGGAUGACAGGGAAGGGGGCUAGGACUGCACUGCCACAAGGAUCAGGCACCUCCCAGCUCCCCCUGCUGCCACUUGGCCCUGGCAUGGCAACUUCUUACAAGUUGAGGUUGCGGGUUUUUUUGGCACUGCCCAAAAACAUUCCUGACACUGGGUCUAGAGAGAGAACAAAAACUAUAGCCAUCGCUUUUGGUUAGUGCUUAAAAUUUCCCCCCAAGUGCAGAUUUAUUAUUUUAUUUGCAAUAUGGCACAACUGUUUAUUUACAUUAAUAUACAAAUGAUUUUUGUAUACAUUUCCUUUUUUGAAGGGAUUAUACAGUUCUAACAGUCAUGUUUCACAAAUGGAUAAUUGCAAUUUGUUAGUGAUACCUGUAAAAAAUUUCUCACUAAAAGAAAAUUAGAACACAAUACACUAAUAAUACCUAAACAUUACCAUGUGGUUAGUCUCUAUGGUCUCUGUAAUUGUGCCUUUUGAUGCGUUCAAAAUUGCACUUUCCCCAAAAGGUAACGUUCUACUAGUUUAAAGCUGCAAUACUGUUCCUUUUCUUCUGUUUACAUAAAGAUCAGUUGAUGCACUGUAGACAGUGCAAACAAAUUGCACAAGAGAAUGAAAAGCCUCAGCAACUGGCCUGACAGGUUGCUGAAAGAAAAACUUCCAGUUGAGAGAACUUAUUUAAACAAACAGGUAAGAAUUAAAAUAGACCUUAUAUUUUGAGAGCCUCUCUGAACAACUCAAUUUCACAACAUUUCAUACUCAAGAAAUCGCUUGUCAAAACAAGAAUAAAAGCAUUUAAUUUUAUUUUGCAACUGAAAUAUGAAAAAUGGAAUCAAUGUACAAAACAGACAUGAAUAAAGCAAACAUUGAAUACUGUCACAAAACUUGUAUGUAAUAUAUAGCAGUGGUUAACUCAAUCUCAGCACAGCUUAAUUAGCGUAACAUACCAAAGCAAAAAUAUCUUAUGUCCAUUAGACUGGUAUAUUUGCGUGUCUGUAAUAAAACAUGUAAUUUUAAGCAA